rnacentral:lncRNA from 1 species
CGGAACCAUGAACUUCUAUCUCUUGCAGGAAGCAACAGGGCUGAGGACUUGAACACACAGAGCUGGCAACAUGUGAGAUAAAGGGCUAUACACCUGUGCAGUCCAAUGUGGGAACCAAGCCUGGUGUGGGGAAAAGAAGCACUUGGACCUUCUUCAAGUUGCUUAAAAUUAUAGAGCUCUGCUCAUCUCUGCAGCUUUGAAACCGUACACAGGAAGCAGAGCUGCUGACGUCAGGAGACCUCGGAGACCCGCUAUCGCAUCUGUUUCAUUGUACAGGUAAGGAAGCUAAAUUACAGAUUAAAGGAUUUGCCCAAAGCUACAGAGCAGAGGACUAUGAGUAGAACCCAGAUCUCUUGUUUCCUAGUUC